CGAAAGCCUAAGCUGAGAAAUAAAGAAUUUGAUUGUAGAAAAAGAUAAAAACGUGUCGCAGAAAGAAGACUGAUUUACUAAACGCAUUUUAAAGAUUUUGCUCACUCAACACAUAAAGGAGCAACAAGCCAACAUCACAUCAAAAUAUAUGCACCAGCAUGUAUGCAUAAUAAUAUAUCUAAGCCUUAUGAUAAAUUUUAAUUUAAAAAAAUAUAUUAUUUUUCCUAUAUUUUCAUGAGCACAAAAAUAUAAAAUUAAAUAAUUUUAUCUAUAAAAGGAGUAAAUUUUAGGGUGUUACAUCCAUCCUGGCUCUCGACAAAGCUAGGAUUUUUUUUUUUUUUUACAUGCACAGCCACAAGGUGAACUACAGAAAAUUUAAAGUAAGUGAAGUUCCAUAGAUAUAUAUCACACAUGUCUAUAUCACAAAUCCACAUAUAUAUAUCACACAUGAAACAUAUCGAAGUCCACAGAUAUCAUAAAUCCACAUAGAUAUGACAAAUCUAACAUAAAGUCCGGUCAGGGAGGCACGUGAUCCGCCGCGCGUAGAGCUUGCUCGAGCUAGACGAACUCGCCGCCUCGAAAGCUGGGCCCUCGGCAAAGCUCCUGUUUCCCGUAGUGAGUCAAGAAAGAAACUUUUAAGCUGUGUAUUUAAGUUUAGCUGCCACUCGAAAAAGAGUAGAAUAUUUUUUAGAAACAUGGAGUUUAAAAAUACUCAACAAAUCCUUCACAAAAUUGAGGGCAUGCCAUUACAGAUUAAGAGCCUCUAGAGCGUUCUCCUCCGUUCCAAGUUCUUAUUCCUUAUUUUUCUCUGCAAUUUCCCUUUUGUAAGCCUGCAGUUGUUCUUCAAAUUUCUCUCUCUACAAAGUUUGUCUUUCUGUUCAAUGCUUUUUGAUUUUAAGUACAAAAAUAAUGUGACAUCUAGAAGAAGGCGAUUUAUUUCUUUUUAAAUAGAAUACAUUGUUGUGGUUUAGAGGAUUACAUAAUACAAACAAGGGGUGAUAAGCACUCAACCAUGAUAUAAGUGUCACAUUUUUCUUGAACAGGCUGAGCUGCCUGUGAUUUACUCAUUAUACAAAGAAGAAAGAACCAUUAUGCUAUCACAUAUCAUUUGCUCAGAUUCAAGUCCUAGAACUUCGUUAGAAGUCCAUGUGCAUCCUUAAUUACCAUGUGCAUUAGAGCUUCUCAAUAUUUUCCCAUUUUCCACCUAAAAAAUGAAGAUUCAGAUAAUUAACAUGAUGAUAUCAAGGCCUUCCACGUAUCGUGCAUACAAGGGUGCAGUCUUGCAGCACUUGAUUGCGAAAUCUUGCUUUCUUUGAUGGCAAACAAAUACACAGAAAUUCAAGAUAAAGUUGGGCAGCCAAGGACAGAGACAGGCAAAGCAGUGAUUGCAGCAGACCGGAGACAGAAACAAGUGCCUAUUGUAUAAAAUUAUUAUGUAGCCAGGGCUCCUAUGAUUGAAAGAUUUAUACUACUGGUUGCUCUUCGUCUUCCUCUUCCUUCUUUUAGAAAAGCAAGUAUAGCUCUCAUUGCUAUCUAUGGAGCUAGGGCAUCACUGGUCAAUUCCUCACCAUGCUGCUCCCCGUUAUUUUAAUCCAGGAUGUGAUGGAGAACAGUGUUCCAUAAACAAUUUUCCAAACAAAACCAAGAGAACAGUCAUUUGGAGAAACAAUUGUUUGGAAGUGUAGCAAUAUCCUCCUCCCAUGUUGCUAUGGACCAGUCCAAAGGAGGCUAAGGGGAACAUGGAGGCUGGUAGUUCAGUGUGGGUUGUGUAGAAUCGAUCAGGCAUGGCGUGCAUGUGGAGUGUUGCUACUCACAUGACACCUAUGACACCAUUUGGAGCAU
rnacentral:lncRNA from 1 species